GACAGAGGGUGCAAACGUUGUUCGGAAUUACUGGGCGUAAAGGGCUCGUAGGUGGCCAACUAAGUCAGACGUGAAAUUCCUCGGCUUAACCGGGGAACUGCGUCUGAUACUGGAUGGCUUGAGAUUGGGAGAGGGAUGCGGAAUUCCAGGUGUAGCGGUGAAAUGCGUAGAUAUCUGGAGGAACACCGGUGGCGAAGGCGGCAUCCUGGACCAACACUGACACUGAGGAGCGAAAGCCAGGGGAGCAAACGGG
rnacentral:rRNA from 1 species